UACGUAGGGGGCAAGCGUUGUCCGGAAUCAUUGGGCGUAAAGCGCGUGUAGGCGGUUCGGUAAGUCCGCUGUGAAAGUCGGGGGCUCAACCCUCGAAAGCCGGUGGAUACUGUCGGGCUUGAGUACGGAAGAGGCGAGUGGAAUUCCUGGUGUAGCGGUGAAAUGCGCAGAUAUCAGGAGGAACACCAAUUGCGAAGGCAGCUCGCUGGGACGUUACUGACGCUGAGACGCGAAAGCGUGGGGAGCAAACAGG
rnacentral:rRNA from 1 species